GAAGUGCGAUAAGCAGUGCGAAUUGCAGAACCGUGAGUCAUCAGAUUUUUGAACGCAACUGGCGCCGAUUGGUCCUCCAGUCGGCAUGCUUGUUUCAAUAUCUUGUUCUCUCAUCACCCAAAUCUUAAUGCUAGAGAUACCCUUCUCUGGUUAAGUAUGAAAGCACUCUGUACUCUGCAGGCAAUCCUUCGGGAGUUGCACUCAAUGCAGCAGUCACAUUGAUUACAGUGUGAACUCAUUGAGAGUUGAGAACAGUUCAGCUAUGCUGUUAGUGCUUAGAUAACUAAACUUACUUGCAUUUGAAAUCAAGCAGGAUCACCCGCUGAACUUAA
rnacentral:misc_RNA from 1 species